CACAUAAGGAUGAGCCCGCGUACCAUUAGCUAGUUGGCGGGGUAAUGGCCCACCAAGGCUACGAUGGUUAGCUGGUCUGAGAGGAUGAUCAGCCACACUGGCACUGAAACACGGGCCAGACUCCUACGGGAGGCAGCAGUGAGGAAUUUUGCGCAAUGGGGGAAACCCUGACGCAGCAACGCCGCGUGAGUGAUGAAGGCCUUCGGGUCGUAAAGCUCUGUCUGGUGGGAAGAAACGCCUGGGGGUGAAUAUCCCUCUGGCUUGACGGUACCGCCGAAGGAAGCACCGGCUAACUCCGUGCCAGCAGCCGCGGUAAUACGGAGGGUGCAAGCGUUGUUCGGAAUUAUUGGGCGUAAAGGGCGCGUAGGCGGUCCAGUGAGUCGGAUGUGAAAGCCCUGGGCUCAACCCAGGAAGUGCAUCCGAAACUGCUGGACUUGAGUACGGGAGAGGGAAGUGGAAUUCCUGGUGUAGGGGUGAAAUCCGUAGAUAUCAGGAGGAACACCGGUGGCGAAGGCGACUUCCUGGACCGAUACUGACGCUGAGGCGCGAAAGCGUGGGGAGCAAACAGGAUUAGAUACCCUGGUAGUCCACGCUGUAAACGGUGGGCACUAGGUGUAGCGGGUAUUGACCCCCGCUGUGCCGUAGCUAACGCAUUAAGUGCCCCGCCUGGGGAUUACGGCCGCAAGGUUGAAACUCAAAGGAAUUGACGG
rnacentral:rRNA from 1 species